rnacentral:rRNA from 1 species
UACGUAGGCAGCAAGCGUUGUUCGGAAUUACUGGGCGUAAAGAGUGUGUAGGCGGUGCUCCAAGUCUGGUGUGAAAUCUCCCGGCUUAACUGGGAGGGUGCAUUAGAAACUGGAAUGCUAGAGGAUGGGAGAGGUAAGCGGAAUUCCUGGUGUAGCGGUGAAAUGCGUAGAUAUCAGGAGGAACACCUGUGGUGUAGACAGCUUACUGGACCAUUUCUGACGCUGAGGCACGAAAGCGUGGGUAGCAAACAGG